GACGUGCUAAUCUGCGAUAAGCGUCGGUAAGGUGAUAUGAACCGUUAUAACCGGCGAUUUCCGAAUGGGGAAACCCAGUGUGUUUCGACACACUAUCAUUAACUGAAUCCAUAGGUUAAUGAGGCGAACCGGGGGAACUGAAACAUCUAAGUACCCCGAGGAAAAGAAAUCAACCGAGAUUCCCCCAGUAGCGGCGAGCGAACGGGGAGCAGCCCAGAGCCUGAAUCAGUGUGUGUGUUAGUGGAAGCGUCUGGAAAGGCGCGCGAUACAGGGUGACAGCCCCGUACACAAAAAUGCACAUAUUGUGAGCUCGAUGAGUAGGGCGGGACACGUGGUAUCCUGUCUGAAUAUGGGGGGACCAUCCUCCAAGGCUAAAUACUCCUGACUGACCGAUAGUGAACCAGUACCGUGAGGGAAAGGCGAAAAGAACCCCGGCGAGGGGAGUGAAAAAGAACCUGAAACCGUGUACGUACAAGCAGUGGGAGCACGCUUAGGCGUGUGACUGCGUACCUUUUGUAUAAUGGGUCAGCGACUUAUAUUCUGUAGCAAGGUUAACCGAAUAGGGGAGCCGAAGGGAAACCGAGUCUUAACUGGGCGUUAAGUUGCAGGGUAUAGACCCGAAACCCGGUGAUCUAGCCAUGGGCAGGUUGAAGGUUGGGUAACACUAACUGGAGGACCGAACCGACUAAUGUUGAAAAAUUAGCGGAUGACUUGUGGCUGGGGGUGAAAGGCCAAUCAAACCGGGAGAUAGCUGGUUCUCCCCGAAAGCUAUUUAGGUAGCGCCUCGUGAAUUCAUCUCCGGGGGUAGAGCACUGUUUCGGCAAGGGGGUCAUCCCGACUUACCAACCCGAUGCAAACUGCGAAUACCGGAGAAUGUUAUCACGGGAGACACACGGCGGGUGCUAACGUCCGUCGUGAAGAGGGAAACAACCCAGACCGCCAGCUAAGGUCCCAAAGUCAUGGUUAAGUGGGAAACGAUGUGGGAAGGCCCAGACAGCCAGGAUGUUGGCUUAGAAGCAGCCAUCAUUUAAAGAAAGCGUAAUAGCUCACUGGUCGAGUCGGCCUGCGCGGAAGAUGUAACGGGGCUAAACCAUGCACCGAAGCUGCGGCAGCGACGCUGAUGCGUUGUUGGGUAGGGGAGCGUUCUGUAAGCCUGUGAAGGUGUGCUGUGAGGCAUGCUGGAGGUAUCAGAAGUGCGAAUGCUGACAUAAGUAACGAUAAAGCGGGUGAAAAGCCCGCUCGCCGGAAGACCAAGGGUUCCUGUCCAACGUUAAUCGGGGCAGGGUGAGUCGACCCCUAAGGCGAGGCCGAAAGGCGUAGUCGAUGGGAAACAGGUUAAUAUUCCUGUACUUGGUGUUACUGCGAAGGGGGGACGGAGAAGGCUAUGUUGGCCGGGCGACGGUUGUCCCGGUUUAAGCGUGUAGGCUGGUUUUCCAGGCAAAUCCGGAAAAUCAAGGCUGAGGCGUGAUGACGAGGCACUACGGUGCUGAAGCAACAAAUGCCCUGCUUCCAGGAAAAGCCUCUAAGCAUCAGGUAACAUCAAAUCGUACCCCAAACCGACACAGGUGGUCAGGUAGAGAAUACCAAGGCGCUUGAGAGAACUCGGGUGAAGGAACUAGGCAAAAUGGUGCCGUAACUUCGGGAGAAGGCACGCUGAUAUGUAGGUGAAGUCCCUUGCGGAUGGAGCUGAAAUCAGUCGAAGAUACCAGCUGGCUGCAACUGUUUAUUAAAAACACAGCACUGUGCAAACACGAAAGUGGACGUAUACGGUGUGACGCCUGCCCGGUGCCGGAAGGUUAAUUGAUGGGGUCAGCGCAAGCGAAGCUCUUGAUCGAAGCCCCGGUAAACGGCGGCCGUAACUAUAACGGUCCUAAGGUAGCGAAAUUCCUUGUCGGGUAAGUUCCGACCUGCACGAAUGGCGUAAUGAUGGCCAGGCUGUCUCCACCCGAGACUCAGUGAAAUUGAACUCGCUGUGAAGAUGCAGUGUACCCGCGGCAAGACGGAAAGACCCCGUGAACCUUUACUAUAGCUUGACACUGAACAUUGAGCCUUGAUGUGUAGGAUAGGUGGGAGGCUUGGAAGUGUGGACGCCAGUCUGCAUGGAGCCGACCUUGAAAUACCACCCUUUAAUGUUUGAUGUUCUAACGUUGACCCGUAAUCCGGGUUGCGGACAGUGUCUGGUGGGUAGUUUGACUGGGGCGGUCUCCUCCUAAAGAGUAACGGAGGAGCACGAAGGUUGGCUAAUCCUGGUCGGACAUCAGGAGGUUAGUGCAAUGGCAUAAGCCAGCUUGACUGCGAGCGUGACGGCGCGAGCAGGUGCGAAAGCAGGUCAUAGUGAUCCGGUGGUUCUGAAUGGAAGGGCCAUCGCUCAACGGAUAAAAGGUACUCCGGGGAUAACAGGCUGAUACCGCCCAAGAGUUCAUAUCGACGGCGGUGUUUGGCACCUCGAUGUCGGCUCAUCACAUCCUGGGGCUGAAGUAGGUCCCAAGGGUAUGGCUGUUCGCCAUUUAAAGUGGUACGCGAGCUGGGUUUAGAACGUCGUGAGACAGUUCGGUCCCUAUCUGCCGUGGGCGCUGGAGAACUGAGGGGGGCUGCUCCUAGUACGAGAGGACCGGAGUGGACGCAUCACUGGUGUUCGGGUUGUCAUGCCAAUGGCACUGCCCGGUAGCUAAAUGCGGAAGAGAUAAGUGCUGAAAGCAUCUAAGCACGAAACUUGCCCCGAGAUGAGUUCUCCCUGACUCCUUGAGAGUCCUGAAGGAACGUUGAAGACGACGACGUUGAUAGGCCGGGUGUGUAAGCGCAGCGAUGCGUUGAGCUAACCGGUACUAAUGAACCGUGAGGCUUAACCUU
rnacentral:rRNA from 1 species